rnacentral:rRNA from 1 species
ACCACUGGUAAUCUGCCCAGCGUAAAUAAUAUUAGCGGCCGCAGUACCUUGACUGUGCUAAGGUAGCAUAAUCAAUUGGCUUUUAAUUGAAGUCUGGAAUGAAGGGGUUUAAUGGGAAUUCACUGUCUUUAUAAUAUUUUUUUGAAUUUAUUUAUUAAGUGAAAAUGCUUAUACGUAGAAAAAAGACGAGAAGACCCUUAGAAUUUUUAAUAAACUAUUUUAAUAUUAUUUUUUUGUUGGGGCGACAUUGAAACAUUUAAACUUUCUUUUUUUACAUGACAUUAAGAUUUGAAAGGUUAAAUUACCUUAGGGAUAACAGCAUAAUUAAUUUUUUAGUUUGUGACCUCGAUGUUGGACUAGGAACUAAAAGACUAACCGUCAAAAUAGUUUGUUCUG